AUUGAACGCUGGCGGCAGGCUUAACACAUGCAAGUCGAGCGGGGAAGGGUAGCUUGCUACCUGACCUAGCGGCGGACGGGUGAGUAAUGCUUAGGAAUCCGCCUAUUAGUGGGGGACAACAUACCGAAAGGAAUGCUAAUACCGCAUACGCCCUACGGGGGAAAGCAGGGGAUCUUCGGACCUUGCGCUAAUAGAUGAGCCUAAGUCAGAUUAGCUAGUUGGUGGGGUAAAGGCCUACCAAGGCGACGAUCUGUAGCGGGUCUGAGAGGAUGAUCCGCCACACUGGGCCUGAGACACGGCCCAGACUCCUACGGGAGGCAGCAGUGGGGAAUAUUGGACAAUGGGCGAAAGCCUGAUCCAGCCAUGCCGCGUGUGUGAAGAAGGCCUUUUGGUUGUAAAGCACUUUAAGCGAGGAGGAGGCUACUUGGAUUAAUACUCUAGGAUAGUGGACGUUACUCGCAGAAUAAGCACCGGCUAACUCUGUGCCAGCCGCCGCCGUAA
rnacentral:rRNA from 1 species